rnacentral:rRNA from 1 species
UACGUAGGGGGCAAGCGUUGUCCGGAUUUAUUGGGCGUAAAGAGCGUGUAGGCGGCUUCACAGGUCCGUUGUGAAAACUCGAGGCUCAACCUCGAGACGCCGGUGGAAACCGUAAAGCUAGAGUCCGGAAGAGGAGAGUGGAAUUCCUGGUGUAGCGGUGAAAUGCGCAGAUAUCAGGAAGAACACCCGUGGCGAAGGCGGCUCUCUGGGACGGUACUGACGCUGAGACGCGAAAGCGUGGGGAGCGAACAGG